ensembl:lncRNA
GCAAAUGUCCUUGUUCCAGGAUCGUCUCAGAGAGCAAAAUGCCCACUUGGAGAUGCUGCGCCAGAAAGCACAUGACCUGGAAGUACAGUUGGAGUCUUCUCAAAAGAAUACCGAAGAUAAAGAAAAUCUCCUUGCCCAAAUGGAAGAGGAUAUGAAAGGUACAAUGCAAGAGCUAUACAAAAGCAUAGAUGAAAAAGAGCAGUGCAUUAAAAGUCUUCAGGAUCUGCUGGCAACAGAAAGAUUUGGCUUGUCUGUACUACAACAAACACUUUCUCUCCGGGACUCAGAAAUAACAGAGUUAAAGAAUGAAAUAGCUUUAUCCAAAGUGAAAGAACAGCAACAUAUUGAAGAACUGAAAACCAUUCAUGAGAAGGAUAUUUGCAGACAGUUGGGUAACUUGAGGAAUGAGCUGGAGAAGUGCUACAGAAGAGAGACUGCAGUAGCCAAGCAGGCAUAUGAAGAAGAAAUUAUUUUAAAAUACAAGAAUGAGCUUGAACAGUUAAAAAAAGAACUCUAUGCUUUGAAUUCUGAAGAACACGUUCAGAAUUUGAAUGGCAUAAUAAUUGACUUAAAUAUUAGUCUUCAGGAGUCUGAAAUUAAUAACGAAAAUUUGAGGAAGAGACUUGAAAACCAAGAAGAGGACUUUCAGAGAGAGAAAUCUGAAAUUGAGACUAAAUACAAGGAUUUAAUUGAUGGCCUUAAGUGUCAACUUUCUGAUGCAGAAGAGCAGGCUAAGGAAGCCCAACGAUAUAAACAAGAAAAAGAGUCCUUGAAUGAAGAGAUUCAGAAACUGAAUUCUUUCAUCCAGGAAUUAAAUGAAAAGCGACUUUAUGAGGCUGAAAAAAGUAUAGAUGCAGGGCAAAAGCGCGAUGGAGAGAUUGUCUCCAAUAAAAAGCUAAUGAAAUUGAGGGAAAACCCAAUUUUAUCAGGGGUGUCAGAGUUGCAGGUAGCAGGGCUUGAGGAGAUGUGGGACAAACCACAGCAGUUGGAAGGUGGAGAUGAGCCAGUGCACAAAGAACUGGAGUCCCAGCGUGAAUCCUCAAGGGAUCAGUUAGAAGAGAUUAAGAAUUCAGAGAUCACAGAGAAUAAUGAAAGUAGCAAAGGAGAUAACCUGUCUGAAGGACACUUGUCAGAACUGGGGCUCUUCAGUGGUGAUGAAGGCAUGUUGGCUAAAUAUCUGAUUUCCACGGGAACACCAGAAGACUCCUAUGCAUCCAGCACUUCAGAAGGUCAUGCCAUCGAGGAGGGUAGAUGCAGUACGUAUGGGCUAGACAACAGUGUGCUUCCAGAACCCAGCACAGGUUUUAUAUCUCCUCCAUUGAACUCUAGCCUUGAUGAGGGAACAUGUCCUAGUGCCUUGGCUCAAGAAGCUUUUGAAGAGGUGGGAGCAGAGGCGUUUGUUUCGUUUGUGCCAGAUAAUCGCCUGCAGGAAAACAAACUAAGAGACCACGGUGACGUAAAGGAUGGUGAGACAGUGUGUUCAGCAGAGAGGUGUGUGAAGCUAAUUGAGCAGCUCCAUCAGACGGAGUCAGCCUUGAAGAUAGCUUAUCAGGACACCCAAGAAGCUGUUGGAAAAUGGGAAAAAGCAAUGUCUGAGCUCUCUCAUAUGCAGGCAGAACUGGAGGAAGAACAUGCAGCGCGGAUCUGUUGUGAAAAACAACUUCUGGAAAAAAUGGAGAAGGAGAAAGAACUUGAAAAUAAACUCAUGUUUCUAGUAAAGCAGCAGGGUGAGGGUGGAGGCCAGCCUCACUGUGCUGUAGAGUCCCUGGCACAAGUGUCAAAACCCUCUAUCUGGCAAGAAAUGGUGAAGGACCUCCAAGAGGAAAGAGAAAUGUUGAUGAUGCAGCUGCGAGCUCAGGAGCAAUUAGUGAAAGACGUUCAAGAGCAGAAAACGGCUUCUGAUUCUGUGACAAGCGAAGUGCAGUCUCUCUUUGGCCGUCAGUUGGCUGCUUUGCAAAGUCAAAGGGAUCAGAUGCAAAGCCAGCUUGAUGCGCAGAAGGCUAAAAACCAGAGAAUAGCAGAGCUGCUCGGGCAGAAAACUGUAUCUGAGGAGACGUUGCUAAAAGAACAGGAGUUGCUCAAAGCUGAGAUCAAUAAUAAAGAACAAAAUUUAGCACUUUUAUUGAAGGAAAAAACAGCCUUAGGAGAAAGAUUGUCUGCCGUGGAGGAGGAUUUGGUGAAAGCAGAAAAAACACUUGCGGAGAAUGCUGGCAUCAUUGAGGACCUUGAGAAAAACAUACAUGACCUUAAUGCUGAAAUGAAAAACCUCAGAGAACUACAGGAAUGUGAAAGACUGGGCUAUGAGGACAGGUUAAACCUUUGCAACCAAGAAAUUCAUAAACUUACUGCUGAAAUAAAGGAAAAGAGUGCUGAAUACAGUGAGGAAAAGAGCCAGUUGACUGAAGAAAUUGCCCAUUUGAAAGAGGCUCAUUUGAAUCUCGAGGCUCGCUUGCGGGAAUCCUUUCAGGCUGCAGAAGCUGCACAGGAGGCUCAAUCCAAGGUGGAGAAACAUUACAAAGAGGAAAUGGAUAAAAUGGCCACUCAGCACCUUGCUGAAUUAACUGAAGUGAGUUUGACACACAAGAGAGAGGUAGGAAACCCUGGUAACUGCAGGAGUCGUGAGAUUUCGUAAUGCUUAAGGUUGCCAUUGCAAAUGUGUGUAUGCCUGUUUUCAGAUAGAAGAGUUAAAUGCUGAAAUAAAAGAUAAAGUGGAAAAACA